rnacentral:tRNA from 1 species
GUCUUUAUGGUGAAAUAGUAUCACAUUACCUUUUCGAGGUGAAAUUGAAUUUAUGUUCUAAAGAUA